AAAAAAUUAGUUAAAUAAAUAACAUUAGUUUGUCAAACUAAAAUUAUCAACCAUUUGAUAUUUUUUA
rnacentral:tRNA from 1 species